UGAAGGAACAACUCGUACAAAUCUCGCGAGAGUUUCGCAAAUCUAGGGUAACCUAGACACGACCCCCAACCUUCUCCAGACUAUUAAAAACAUUCUCCAAAACUAUCCCAACCCUCUCCAGACUAUCUCAAACCUCAGCCAUUUCAUUGGGUGUCCUGGUUUUCAGGUGACUGGAGCUGGUUUCCUCCUGGAACUGAUGUCUUGAUGUCUGGAUGUUUGUGUCGACUGCCAGCUGAGAUGAAGCCAGAUAGUGACAGAACUGUAAGGGUCCAGAACCAUCUGAGCACAGCGCACUAUGGUCACCAACAAGAAGAAGCAGAGGAGGAAGAAGAAGAAGAGGGCAAAACCGAGAUCCACAUCCACAUCAAACCUGGUAAUGGGAAGCGCCGGCUGUGAAAGAGAGGAGGGACGGACGAAGACGGAAACUGAUCCAAAGAGACACACACACACACGCACACACCUCUACGUCUUCACUGAUGGACAGAGUGGGGAGAGAAAACAGAUACAAGCCAAUCAAAGCAGAGUUGGCUUUUGUUUCUUCACCAGUUAAGAACAUAAAACUGUUUUGAGGAAAUGAAGACAUGCAUGGAUGUAACUGAAAACAGCCAUGACUCUUGAAUGAGUGUGAUCAGUAAAGUGCACUGUCAAAACACCAAUUAACAAGACUGACAGCACUGUAUAUAUGACUUUGUGAUUAAA